rnacentral:misc_RNA from 1 species
GAAAUGCGAUAAGUAAUGUGAAUUGCAGAAUUCAGUGAAUCAUCGAAUCUUUGAACGCACCUUGCGCUCCUUGGUAUUCCUUGGAGCAUGCCUGUUUGAGUAUCAUGAAAUCUUCAAAGUAAAUCUUUUGUUAACUCAAUUGGUUUCUACUUUGGUAUUGGAGGUCUUUGCAGCUUCACACCUGCUCCUCUUUGUUCAUUAGCUGGAUCUCAGUGUUAUGCUUGGUUCCACUCGGCGUGAUAAGUUAUCUAUCGCUGAGGACACUGUAAAAGGUGGCCAAGGUAAAUGCAGAUGAACCGCUUCUAAUAGUCCAUUGACUUGAACAAUACUUUUAUGAUCUGAUCUCAAAUCAAGUAGGACUACCCGCUGAACUUAAGC